UAACUGUAUACAGUGUCAGGCGUAAAUGACGGCAGAAAGCGUUUCUCCAUGCCCCUACGAAACCAGCGGCAUGCAGCAGGGAGCUCUGCGGGCCCUGUUGACCGAGCAGCCUGUCCCCAGCCCACACCCUCACCUGCUAAAGAAGGGGCAAGAGGGGUGGGGAGCAGGGGGAUGCCCAAGAGGGGAAGGGCAGCGAAGGAAUUGGGCAGGACAACACCCUCCGUGGGAACACGGCCUGGUUCAUUGCCUCAGAGCCCAGCCCAUCACACUGCCUCCGAGCACAGUGCUUCCUAGCUGAUCUCACCCAUAAUGCCAAGCUAUUCUUAAACCUCUUAUCAAAACAAAAACAGGCACUUCUAGAAAUGUGCAUCAGCCCCAGCAAGUUACAGGACACUCAUAUUAUCCAUUUCCUCACCCUCUUUUCCUACCCCUCCCUGGGUGGUCCGCCUCCGCCAGCUUCCUCAUAGCUCAGCCUGAGCCACGAGCUUCCCCUGAGAGGAAGCUAAUAUUCAGGAUAUUGCAGGGAAGAUGACAUAUCUGUCAAAUAAAACCAAAACAAUCCAAAACAAUAUGCCCACAAAAAAAACAGUGCCAAAGGAACGAGCCUGUGCAGAGGAGCCUGGCUGAUAACCUGAGCGCUCCUCAGGUCAGGGGUUGGCAGGGGAGAGGGAGGGAGCACUGCAGUAACACCUCCAGAUAAAGAGGAGGCGGAGAAUGAGAGCUUCCUGCUCACACCUUGAGGUAUAUGAAAGAAUAUGACAGCAUUUGUAAUAAUUAGUGUUGCUUUGUUGACUGGUCCCUUUUUGCAUGCUUUAUCUUCUCUUGCACUCUGUUUUGAAGAUCUCUCCCUUCAUUCUCCCCUACCAUACUAGAUCAUUUUGUGUGAAUUUUGAAGAUGAAUUUGAAGAGAAAUCCAUAUGGGGACUCAUGCUUGUGUUAACUUUCUUUCCAAAAGGGUCAGCUGGUGUUUCCGUGGGGUCUCACUGAAUAACAACUAUCAAAAUAGGCAACUCAGUGAGAUCCUGUGAGUUUUUGAAAAUACAUACAAGAAUACAUGAAUGUAUAGUUGCUAACUAGCACAGAAAUAGUACUAAGAGUUACAGAAAAAUAUUCUGUAUAAAGCAUAUAAUUUGCGUUAGAUGAACUGCAGCAACCAUGGCAACUCACAUUAUUUUUUUCAAGGCAAAACCAACAUUCACCUUCUCUACUGCCUGAUGCUGCUUUGCCAUUAUUUAAUAGUUCCAAAAUUAUUGCUCUUUUUACUCUCACUCUUAUAUCCCCACUUGCCACAGAAGUAUACUAGAGGCAAUUUUACAGAAUAGUCCUCAAAGCUGACUCACUUAUUCCCUCAGUACUGCUCAGAUACCGCUGCACCCACACAGGGUAUGGAUAAACAACUCACUGCAAGGUAAGUUAGGGUAAAUAUUUUCCAUGUACCUACUACUCCAUAGCAACUGCCUGUGUGCAUUCUUACCCAGGAUUAAUACAAUUGUUCAGUUAGGAAAAAGCAUUCAGUGGUGAUCCCUGAGGAACAGAUAGGAAUUGGUAGAUGAUACAUCUUCGCUUACUGAGAGACACAGAGAUUUUUAUAACCUAUAUAAUCAGAUGGGAGGAAAAAAAAAAAGAUGACUACCUUCAAUCUCCUGCCUUGCUUUAUGCUCAGAGCAAAAUUUGGUAAACAUAAUCCUUUAUUUUUGCAUCAAGCAAACAGGUGGCGAUGUACAAAUUCCUUGUAUGUAAGCAAAAUAGCUCACCAGUUUACAACACCCAGCUUCAAGAGUUCUCAUUAAUUUUGAUGGAUGUCUUAAAAACACAUGCCUAUACUAUGUAAUUUAUACAUGAUAUUCAGCAAAGAAUGUAUCAGGUGACAAAAAAAAUAUGACUGACAGUUACUUACACCGAGUAUUGCUAAGCUCAUGCCUGCAUUCAUAUUAAGUUUCAACACUGCAGGGAGGUAUUUACUCGGUUGCUGUUGUUCUAAUGCAUAAACAGAAAACAAUUAAGUGCGCAGAAGUGAGUUGCUAAAAACAAAAACUACAGAUGCCCCAUCCACGGCUUGUGAAUCGGAGGUGGUCAAGACUUACUGUACUGCAGUCACCACCUCUUCAGGCGAAUCAAGACUAAUUAUAACAGAGUUGCUAGCCUACUUGCAACAAGUUACAAUUCAAGAAGAAUCACACAGGUUAUGAUUGGAGAAGAAUCACACAGGAAGCCAUCUCAGAAGUCUCAUCACCAGGGUGCACGUUGGAAUAAUGAGACUCAGAAUGACUCCAAGAUAGGAAAGAAUCUGUGGAAGCUUUCCCCAGGGAAAGAAAUCCAGAACUGUAGAAGGAACUCUGGACAGAAUGUCAGGGCCUUUAAGAUGACCAUCUAUAUCCAGUUCGUCUAACACUUAUCUUUGUGUAUUUCUGUGUGAAUCAUCACUUACAAGCUAUCAUUUCAAAGAACCAGACACUUUCAAAUCCUGGCUACAAACAAAUUUCAGCUAUAUCCUCCGCCAUCAAGGAAAGUACAAUAUGAUUUUUUGGUGAUAAUUACUCACUAAUUUUUUCAACAUAAGGGUUGGGAUGUUACACACCUUAAUAAGGAAAUACAUGAAAACCUCUACAGCUACCUUUUGUAAUACCAUUAAAGAGUAACCGCCACCUGUCUUCUACUUCAAAGCGCAUACUCUUUGGAGGCUGACCCUGCGCUGCUGUUUGUUUUGCAAGUUGCCUGGCAGAGAAGCCUGAGCAAUGGAGAACAAAACCAAAACGAAGCCAUCUUCAUCAGGUAUCCCAUUCCAAAUUAGCUGGAGAGUGAUCAAAAUACUAUUCCAAACCACAGAAGCAGUAGCAUGUGGAUCACCUACAGUAAAGGGGCUUAAAACUUAGGUGAUGCUACUGUCUCUUAAUUUACAGGAAAAUUCAGACUAGGAUAUUUUACAGGUAAAUAUUGACCUUAAUACACUAGUUCUCUAAUUGUAGGCAGCCCUCAAAAUUAAAAACAUAACAUUAACAAAGAAUUCACAGUACCAAGAGCUGAAAUAACCUAAAAUAAUUAGCUGGAGAAUAUUCUCAUGGCUUGAGGUAGAAAAAACCACUGUUUAGUAGCUCUCCUCCACCACUCACUCUCACUGCUAUUUAAUUCUGCUUGUAAGGAACCCUGUCUCUCCUGUAUCUACAGAUGCGCAAAUAACAGGAACAUGUUCCAUUAAACAUUGUAUGCCAAAGCCUACAUGCAAUUAAGCCUGACCAAACAGUUUCUAGGAGCUUGAAGAUAUUUGCUUUCCUGACAAAAAUCCUGCACACAAAAGCUCCUUACAUAAGUACCUAUGCCUUUGGUAUGUUUCCAUCAAAAAGAUUCCUGCCCCAGGAAAUAAAAGCUAGCUUCUCUCUUGUUUGACUGAUUAGACAGCAACAUGCCACUUUUACACUUAGGAAACCACACAAAUACAUUCCUGGACAACAGGAGAGAAGAGAAAUUCAGUGUGUUCACUGCUUCCCCACCUCCCCUGGACUGAAGUUAAUCUCAUACAGAGCCUUUCAGCUCAGGUUCCUCUGUGAGACUGAGAAAGCACCUGUAGGUAUGCAAAUGCAAACCAUUCUCCCUUAAUAGCUACUGUAUUUGACAACUGGAAAAUGGAUUUCUGUGAAGCAGACAAUGACUUGCAAUGCUUCUGGGAACAGCUAAGAUCCAUUUCGCCAUACAUCACAAUUAAUAAAAGGAAACAAACUUCAUUCAUUUACAUUAGCUUUGAAUCACAUUUUACCCUCAUUCCUUUUUGUCCUGACUUCUAUCUUCUAACAGUACCCAUAGCACAACACAGAAAUUUAGGCAGAGCUCAGGUUAGAUAUUUACACCAAGCAGCACAGCAGAGAAAUACUAAAUAUUUUUGUGGAAAUAGAAAGACAAGUGAGGAGAAAGCCACGGUGAGAUGCUACUCCAGUGGGACGGAGUUGCUUGUGCCAAUGACAUGCACCAUAGGCACCAUGGUGGGUUGGAGUUGGCUACAGUAGUGAAAAUGUUGCUGUUCCCAUGGCCCAGUAGUCAAGUCAAUCCAGUGCACUUGAUCAUGCAGAUCUACCUCGGUUCAAGCAAAAUGAGGGGAGGGAGGCUGUGUACUGUCUGAACCAGCACACUCCUGUCUUCUUCACAGAACACGCUACAUUGGAAGCAGACUGUUUUUUGACCUACUUAAUCAUUUUCACUCAUGUGCUCAUAUUUGAGCUGUUUGAAGGAAAUAGGCCUUGAAUUUUUAUAUUCUCACAUAUCUUCAUGCUCAGUGUAUAUUUCUAUUUAAACAGCUUUUCAAGCCAUUGCACUUUUUCACUGCAAAAUUCAUGUUUUGGAAAAAUGUAUAAACUAAAAGCUAAAAAAAGUCCUAUGGAGAAAGGAUAUUUGAUGCACUAAGAUUUCCUUUCUCGUCUCAGCCCCAUUUCAGCUGAUGUUUCAGUUCAGCAAAGAUUUCAAAACUGACACUUGAACUGAAUUCCUCAAAUUGGAAUCCAACCCUUGCAUUCAGAUUCUUCUCAGUUUUACUUUCUCCAGCUCCCACACACACUUCUCUGCCCUUUUGCCAUAGCACCUUGUUGUGUAAAUAUGCUUUCUGAUUAAGUCAAGAAGCCCCAGCACUUCCCUCCAGCUUUUUUCCUCAUAAAACUCACACUGUCCAUUAAAAGAAGGAAAAUUAUCAAGUGUCUUUUAUCAAGCAACACUGGAAGACACCUGACGAAGCAUAAACAUGGAGCACCGGCCUAAUUUACUCUGAGUAUUCAAACCAACACUACACACUCAUCCUCUACAUCCGUACUGGGAAGUCAGGCAAUGAACUGAAUUUGUCCUGCAUGCACCGCUGAGUGCAGCUACUGUGCAGCCAUUGCCCACACAAACCCAAGCAAACAAAGCUCAGGAAUGCAGGCUUGUUGGCUGCCAUCAGCCCAUGGAUUCAAAGGCUUACUGUCCCACCUGAACAACAAAAAAAAAAGAGUACUGCAUAGAAUAAAAAGUUUGCAAGCACAGUUGCAUUGUUUUUGUGACAAUCACCACCCUUGACUGACUAUACCACCUGAAUAACUGGAAAUUUCUGUACAGGGUAUGUCUUAAUUAAAUCAACUAUCUUGUUGCAUGCAUUCACAAUUUAUUCAAAUAGUAUUAGAAAAAGGAAUGUGGUCACAAUUAGAAGAGGAAAAUGCCUCAGAAUGACAAAAUGUUGUUUAUAAAAAUAAAAGCUAUUCUUUUGCAAGAUAACUGCUUUCCUCCUGAAGAAAAAAAAAACGUCAUAAUGAAAUGGCAAAUAAUACUAAUAAAUAACUACUGCUAAGCGACUUUUGUGAUUUCUCAACAGCGGUCAAUAUCCAAUACAAGCGAUGAGCUCAGAUUUCAAAGAAUACAGUGUUCUGCACAGCAGAAGUGAGUGUUUUGCAGGAUAAACCCAGCAGAGGAAUCUCAUUACUGAUACAUCUUAUUCUGUGCUUAUUCAAGCUGGGUGGGCGUGCCUUCUGCAUAACCAUCUGAUGUGUGAUUUUAGUUACAUUACCCAUGUCAAAAUCAGUAACAAGCCAUCUUAAAUUAACUGAUAUUUUUAGAGGAGAUGUAGGUUUUAACUAAUGAUUCUGAAUAUAGUUUAUACAAAUACAUGCCAGCAUAUCGGCAGAAAAUUUCACCUAUUCCUACCUAUUAUUCCUGCACAGCUUUUAGUAAAAUGCCAAAUUUGUUGAUAAGAAAAACAAACUAAAAUUUCUAAGAAUUCAUAAUAUGUAUAUAUAUAUAUUUUUUUUUUCCAGCUCCAUGAUUGUAAAAUGUUUCAUGUAGAAGUAGUCAAACACUGGUCUAGAUUAAGAGGUUUAUAAUGCUUCCCAACCACAAUUUUAAUCACCUCCUCAGAUACCUCUGUAUACAACGUUCCACUCCUGCUAAAGCUUAACAGUGGUAGACUGUUUGACUGACUGAGCAAAUCAAAUCAAUUGCUUCCAGAGAAGCUGGCCUGAUUUCCUUCCUUAGUCAUGCUUCUUGGAGGCAGCUAUCAUAAAUUUACAGAAGUUCAAACCACCUUUCACUGGAUGUGACCUUUGCAGAAGUUCAGACAGGAACAUCCACAUAGGGCCACAUCAAAACCCUAUUGAGCCAGGAUCCCACCCUCCUGUGCAACUCUAAGUGGUUGCCUAAGGAAGAGUGAAAAUAGAGGGACUUCCCAAGCUAGAUGUGGUUUCCCUAUAUUAAGUAACUCUUAAGAGAUUUCUCUUCCAUGAACUUCUCCACUACCCCAUGAACUCAACAUUUAUCUUACACAGCAUCGUCUGACAAGGAAACCUACUACCCCCUCAUUUGGAUGAUUGCUCAAUAAGAAUGAGACACAGCGAGUAGCUCAGUUACUCUGCUAUACUACUUCCUAGUAAGGUUUUUAUAUUUGUUGUUCGUUACUUUGUCCAUCUCCCCUUCGCUUAAGGAGGGAUUCAUCCUCCCUCUUUCUGGCUAAGGACUUCCAUCACAUUUAAACAAGCAGCAGAAGCUAAUUCCCAUUUUUGGUACAAGCAUUAUGAGAAUUAAGAUUUUUUGAUGCCACUGGAUUCAUAGGCUUUUUGGGGUAUUAGGAGAGGCGAGAGGAGAAUAACAGAGGGGUAAGUGAUCAAGCCCCAAAGCUUCAUGUGAUAUUUAUGACACUGGCAAACUACAGAUUACCCACAGCAGCACAAUAAUGUGCCAUUUUUCCUUCUAGUCCUAAUAAUUCUUAGCAAUGUUUGGGUUUUAUUUCUGGGUGGGGCUUUUUCUUGGUUUGGUUUUUUUUUGGGGGGGUGGUUUUUUUUGUUUUUGACUGCUAUUGAACAGAUACUUUCACAAAACUCUCACAGAACUAUUAACCCUAUUAUUUCAGUCCUGAAUAGCAUGAUCUGUUCCGUAGUUUAUCAUUUUCUACAUGAAAUGGGAAUUGUUCUGACUUUCCUGUUUUCACUUAAAUAACCCAAGUUUUCCUUGUAUUUACACAUGUAAAGAAUAACAUAUCUAAAAAAUUAGCAAAAGAUCAUUAAAAGCUUCUUACUAGAGUAGUCAAUACUGAUAAAUUUGGAUGGAUUAGGAUUAGUCUGUAGAAUUUAGCAGUAAUUCCCUAAUUGCACAGAUCUGUGAUGGAAACAGAUCAAAUCUUAAAGUCAAACCACAUAUAAGUAUAUUGUGCCCUCUGUUAACUUGAGCGUUUUUAGCUAAUGUUUUACCAAGCACAUCCCUCAUUCCCAGAAAAUGAUCAUGGCUGAGAACAUCUUAUAGACAUCAGGUCAUGGAGUUAAAAAGCAUGAAUUAUUGCAUCAUAAAUCUGACAAGCAUAUUUGAGCACUUAUUCACAGGGCACAAGUGGCUGUCUGUAAUUCAAUAUCCUUUACAAAAGUAAAAGCAUUUUGAACUUAGUCUCCCUUUCCCCACCCCAAUUGACUAUUUUAUCAUAUAAUGCAUUGGAAUCCACGUCAGUUGAUGAGUAUCUUUACGUACUGGGUUCAAAGGUGUGUACGUGUUUACAUUCACUGGACAUCUUUUCUAGAAGGGAAAGGAAAGAGGAAAUAUAAUAUGCAUUACUCAACCUCUUUACUCUGGUCCGAGUAACAUGCUACAGUGACUUUCACAUUUUUCCUUCUGAGUCAGUUUCUGAUACGCCCCAGCACCAAGCUGAAGGGAUCACCAGGAGGGCACAGCCAAUACAAGGAGGGUAGGGCUCGAUUUGGAGGACUGGCCCUGUGGAAACCUCGUGAUUUUCAAGGAGAACAAAGUCCCAGUUCUGAGCUUGGACAAACUAACUACUGCAAUGGCACAGCUGGAUGAGGAGCAGGGCCUGGAGGAUGGUAAGAAAGGAAACGUCGGUCAAGGCUGAUGGUCAUGACCAUCCUUCCUUUCCUCAGUGCUAGUUAUGCCACAUAUAGAAUGUGGAUUUCAGUUCAGUGCCCAACAAGACAUUACUAAAAUAGAGCAAGUUGAGUGGGGAAGCCAACAGGAUGGUUGGAGCUGGAGAUCCUGAGCUUCAUAGUCCAGCUUUUUCAGCCUGGAGAAGCAUUCUUUAGAUGUGGGUUUUAUUAAAGAUCUCUAUCAUUAAAAAAAAAAAAAAGAUCACACCUUUAUGUGGCUAAGCAUGCUGUUAUUUAGCAGUCUUCUCCCCACAAAAUGCUCUCAUAACCAUGGGACAGGACAUGAUUUCAUUUAACUGGUCUCAGUGACAGCAUGGACAAAAAAAAGCCUGCAGCCAUCUCAACAUGUGCUCUGCAAAGAUAUCUGCAUUUGUUAUUGUACUGUAGUACUCAGAAUAGAAAAUCUGUUAAUGCCACAUUGAAGAACACUAUUUGAGUCCUCCGGUUAAGCAAUAAUAAAAAGUAGAGCUGAAAUCUCUGAAAGCCCUGUAACAAUAAUAUUAAUCAUAAUAGAGGAAUAAGAAUGGCCCAAAGCAGGAUUUGAUAUCGAGUACAAUCUACAGCUGUCAAUACACUGUUCAGCCUUACUCUCUCUACCUACAGAGUACAGUUAAUUGACAAACUCCUGUAUUCAUGAAAAGGUUUAAGUCAGCUUCCCUUAACAUAUAAAACAGGAGCUCUUUCUAUUCAUUCCAGAUUCAGCAACUAAAGACAGUAAAUUUGUGUACGUGUUUCUGUAUAAUUGACAUGAAGGUAAUGCAAGUUUAUUCUUUUUAGAAGUCCAUUAACUCCCAAACUCAGACACAUCUGCAGUUUUGUGUUAAAAACAAACAAACAACAACAAAAAACCCACAACAAAGAAGAAAAAAAAUGCAGAUUUUAUCUUCCUUCAUAACUCACUACUACUCAUCCAACAUGAUUGCUUUGUUUUAUAAACUGAAUUAAAUCCUGAGAAGCCAGGAUAUUGAUGUGCAUGCUUACAAAUGAAUACAGAUGCUCAAGAGAUCCUAAAAGGUUGGGAGAUUUUACAAAGUAAAAAAGAGCUCUGAAAAGAGUAUUGAAAAGCACUGUAAAGGCUUCUAAUAGUAAGUUUUCUGGGGGUACAAAACCAUUUUUUCAGAGAUACUUUUAAAAUGUAAUCUUUCAGCAAAAUUUACUGCAACUUCCUUCAGCAAAUCAUUCAUUUUUGUAGUAUAAAUAUUUAAAUUUCAAUAUAGGGUUAGAGAUACAUGUCACUAACGAUAUCUGAAAUACUGUCAGUAUUACUAACACACACUAAUGUCAUUUUGCCAAGUUCGUUAAGGUGAUUUUCUGUACAUAGAACCCUAGAAGUUUUUCAUUCCUUCAGCAAAAUCAUCUCACAAAAUAGAUAAUUGGUAAUCAAACACCAUCAAGAUUAUAGGCCCGUAAAAGGGUAAGUUACCUGUUAAAUCACUCAAGAGAAAAAGUGAACCAUCUCAGACGUUUCUCUUCAUGAUUAGAAACUUCAGAGAAAGUUCAAAGAUUAAACAGUACCACACCCAACAUUUUAUAGACUUUACACUGAAAAGUUGGAGGUUAACCCUGGCAGGUACAGUCCAAAGUCUGGAACAUAUUUGAUUACCUCCAACGGUUUUACUGGAAUGAUUUAAAGCUAAUGCAAAUUAGUGACAUGUGUGAGAAUUGCACACUGAGCACAACAGUUUGACAUGACUGAUGAAAUAUACUCAUCUCCAUUGUUACCUCUGCGUAACAAUUAUUAGUGUUGAUAAAAGUUAAACAUGAAAUGCAUGAUCUUGAAAAGGAGUUAUCACAAACAAUAUAAACACAGCAAUUUUAAUGUUUAAAAUAGGAUGUGUGAAUAUAACUUACUUAUAUGAAAAUGCCCACAGGAAAGAGGAAAUUUCCACGCUUAGAAAGUCAUAGGAACAUUUCUAGAGUCAUUCUGAAGUGAGGGUGCUGCACUUUUCCAUUUCAAGGGAAGUAUCACUAGGAAACUUAGUUACCACAAUAAAAACUUAUUACAACCACAUGUGUAAGAAAUGUUAUUUCCCUAGAAGUCAGAAAAUGACUUUUAAAAGCAGCAUUCAUUAUUUUAAUUAAUUUUUCCUUAAAAAGGCUUUCAUUCCAGAAAACCCUCACUUCCAUUCCUUUCCCCUCAACUUGAAUUCAAAGAUACUCUCUUUGAGCCGUUGAGCUGAUAGACUUUUCAGCCAUUCCGGUAGAAUCUGAAGACCUUACACAGGUACAAGUUUCGGGGUAACUGCUAUCAUUUUUCUUGCACUGAAGCAAUUGGCUUUCAUCCAGUCCACAACUUUCUAUUCUACACAGAAUAAAAAAGGCAGGAAAGGGUGGUUCUGUUUUGUGUGUCUGGGGUGGGUAUUUUUGUUUUGUUGUUUUGUUUUUGUUUUAAAGGCAAAUUAGAACUAGCUUUUUCAACUCAUAUUCUGUGUUUCUUAGAAAAAUUAAAUCACUAGAGCAGAUUCAGGCUCAGAGCCAUCAUGUAUUCUCAUUAUAACCCUGAAAUUCCUGGGUUUUAAAAAAAAAUUCAAGAAAGUAUAGCAACUCUACAAGUACAUUAGCAAUGUAAGACUCAAAUAUGAAUUCAAUACUAACAACAACAAAAUUGAACUCUGAAUUACCUAGCCACAAAUUGACUUGCAUUCUCUUUUUUUUUUUUUUAAAUCUCUAUUUUCUGUUUAGACAAUCUCCAUCAAAAUUUAAAAUGCGACAGUUCUUUGUGAAGCACAAAAUGGGAUACAACUCUCAAAAGAGUUUCUCAUUACCUCUCAAACGUUUAGGCCUCCUUUAGGUACUAGAAAGCCACAAGAAGUUCCCUCAGAGCCAUCUCCUCUUAAGACUGAAUAACUCUCGGCCUCUCUUCAGAGAAGAGGUGCUCCAGCACUCUGAUCAUCUUCGUGGCCCUCCUCUGGACCUGCUCCAACAGGUCCAUGUACUUCUUAUGUUUGGGAACUCAGAGCUGAAUGCAGUACUCCAGGUGAGGCUUCAAGAGAGUGAAGUAGAGGGGGACAGUCACCUCCUUAUCCCUGCUGGCCACGCCUCUUUUGAUGCAGCCCAGGAUACAGUUGGCUUUCUGAGCUGCAAACACACACCGCUUCCUCAUAUUGAGUUUUCCCAUCAGCCAACACCUUCCCUAAGCCCUUAUCUGCAGCACUGCACUGAAUCCAUUCUCCACCCAGCCUGUAUUUGUGCUUGAGAUUGCCCUGACCUAUGUGCAGGACCUUGUACCUGGCCUUAUUGAACUACAUGAAGUUCACACAGGCCCACCUCUCAAGCCUGUCAAUGCUGAUCUGGGUGGCAUGCCUUCCCUCCAGCAUGUUGAGUACACCACUCAGCUUGGUGUCAUCUGCAAACUUGCUAAGGGCACAUUCAAUCACGCUGCCCAUGUCACCGACAAAGAUGUUAAAUAAUAUUGGUCCCAAUCUGACUCCUGAGGAACAUCACUCAUCAUUGGUCUUUACCUGGACAUCGAGCUCUUAACCACAAAUCUUUGAGUGCAACCACCCAGCCAGUUACUUAUCACUGAGUGGUCCACCCUUCAAACCCAUCUCUCUCCAAUUUAGAGACAAGGAUGUCAUGCAGAACAGCAUCAUGCGGUUUGCACAAGUCCAGGCAGAUGGCUUCUGCUCUUUCCUUAUCCACCAAGGCUGCAUCCCUGUUGCAGAAGGCAACCAGAUUUGUCAUUGCUUCUGCCCGCUUUGUCAUUGAUUUGCCCUCCAUAAAGUGAUGUUGGCUGUUACCAAUAACUUUUCUGUUCUCCACAUGUCUUCACACAGUUUCCAGGAGGAUCUGCUCCACAGUCUUGUCAGACACAGAGGUGAGACUGACCAGCCUAUACUCCCUGGGCAGUACAAAGCACGAGAGGCAAUACCGGUACCUUCUAAGCCCACAAGGGAAGUAACAGCAGAGGAAACAGAAUAACUGGCCAUUCCUGAAGUGCUGUGAUAUGAGGAUACACAGUCAAGCAGAUUAAAUACAUUCAAAAAAGAAAAGGUUUCUGACCAUUAAAAGAUUCUGAAGUGAUGGUGAUAACAGUGACAAAAAUCAACUAGAUGUUUUCAAUAUGGAGUUUGAUCAAUGCACAUCAAUGAGCAUUUAGAGCUGGAAUUAGA